rnacentral:rRNA from 1 species
GCGACCGGCUACGGGUGAGUAACGCGUAUCCAACCUGCCCUUUACUAUGGGACAGCCCGUCGAAAGGCGGAUUAAUACCGUAUGUUGUCAUGUUGAUGCAUAUUUUCAUGACCAAAGGCUUCGGCCGGUAAAGGAUGGGGAUGCGUCUGAUUAGCUUGCCGGCGGGGUAACGGCCCACCGGGGCGACGAUCAGUAGGGGUUCUGAGAGGAAGGUCCCCCACAUUGGAACUGAGACACGGUCCAAACUCCUACGGGAGGCAGCAG